rnacentral:rRNA from 1 species
CGAACGCUGGCGGCGUGCUUUAUACAUGCAAGUCGAACGAUGAAGUUCCUUCGGGAAUGGAUUAGUGGCGAACGGGUGAGGAACACGUGAGAAACCUGCCUUUCAUUCUGGGAUAACACCGGGAAACCGGUGCUAAUACCGGAUACUCCGUCUUGGCGGCAUCGCCGAGCCGGGAAAAAAUUUUGAUGAAAGAUGGUCUCGCGGCCUAUCAGCUAGUUGGUGAGGUAAUGGCUCACCAAGGCGACGAUCCGUAACUGGUCUGAGAGGAUGAUCAGUCACACUGGAACUGAGACACGGUCCAGACUCCUACGGGAGGCAGCAGUAGGGAAUAUUGGGCAAUGGGCGCAAGCCUGACCCAGC